AUGGUGGUAACGGGUAACGGAGAAUCAGGGUUUGAUUCCGGAGAAGGAGCCUGAGAAACGGCUACUACUUCCAAGGAAGGCAGCAGGCGCGCAAAUUACCCAAUCCCGACACGGGGAGGUAGUGACAAAAAAUAACAAUACCGGUCUUAUUAAAGUCUGGUAAUUGGAAUGAGUACAAUCUAAAACCUUUAACGAGUAUCAAUUGGAGGGCAAGUCUGGUGCCAGCAGCCGCGGUAAUUCCAGCUCCAAUAGCAUAUAUUAAAGUUGUUGCAGUUAAAAAGCUCGUAGUUGGAUUUUGAUGAUACUUUUCAUAACCUGCCUUGUAUAAGGUAUGUUUGUUGUGAAUCGUACAUCUCCUUACUAGACUUUCAUGGUUGUACUUAAUUGAAUGACCAUUUCAUCUUGAUUCGUUGGGAUGAGUGAUGAGUAGACCUAUUGGAUUCGAGAUUGUGGAUGAAUUUCUUCGGAGAUUGGUUCUGCUUGGAUUCAGUAACUAUUUAUUAGAAAUCUAGUUCAUUUACUUUGAGUAAAUUAGAGUGUUCAAGGCAAGCAAAUUUGUUUCUGCAAUGAAUACUAUUAGCAUGGGAUAAUGGAACAGGACACGUAUUCUAGUUUUCCGUUGGUUUCUAGAAUUUUUAGUCGCUCUUUGGAGUGAUGAAGUGUAAUGAUUAAAAGGGACAGUUGGGGGCAUUCGUAUUUCAUUGUCAGAGGUGAAAUUCUUGGAUUUAUGAAAGACGAACUUCUGCGAAAGCAUUUGUCAAAGAUGUUUUCAUUAAUCAAGAACGAAAGUUAGGGGAUCGAAGACGAUCAGAUACCGUCGUAGUCUUAACCAUAAACUAUGCCGACCAGGGAUUGGAAGAUGUAUUAUCCUAUUUAAACGUAGGAAAACUCCUUCAGCACCUUACGAGAAAUCAUAAGUCUUUGGGUUCUGGGGGGAGUAUGGUCGCAAGGCUGAAACUUAAAGGAAUUGACGGAAGGGCACCACCAGGAGUGGAGCCUGCGGCUUAAUUUGACCCAACACGGGAAAACUCACCAGGUCCAGACACAGUUAGGAUUGACAGAUUGAGAGCUCUUUCUUGAUUCUGUGGGUGGUGGUGCAUGGCCGUUCUUAGUUGGUGGAGUGAUUUGUCUGGUUAAUUCCGAUAACGAACGAGACCUCAGCCUGCUAAUUAGUGAUGCAAAUGAUUACAUCCGUAAGGAGAGGGUUUCUGUUAAAGCUUUGA
rnacentral:rRNA from 1 species